rnacentral:rRNA from 1 species
CUUCCAGGAAAAGCCUCUAAGCUUCAGAUAGUCAGGAAUCGUACCCCAAACCGACACAGGUGGUCGGGUAGAGAAUACCAAGGCGCUUGAGAGAACUCGGGUGAAGGAACUAGGCAAAAUGGUACCGUAACUUCGGGAGAAGGUACGCUCUUGAUGGUGAAGUCCCUCGCGGAUGGAGCUGACGAGAGUCGCAGAUACCAGGUGGCUGCAACUGUUUAUUAAAAACACAGCACUGUGCAAAAUCGCAAGAUGACGUAUACGGUGUGACGCCUGCCCGGUGCCGGAAGGUUAAUUGAUGGGGUUAGCGCAAGCGAAGCUCUUGAUCGAAGCCCCGGUAAACGGCGGCCGUAACUAUAACGGUCCUAAGGUAGCGAAAUUCCUUGUCGGGUAAGUUCCGACCUGCACGAAUGGCGUAAUGAUGGCCACGCUGUCUCCACCCGAGACUCAGUGAAAUUGAAAUCGCUGUGAAGAUGCAGUGUACCCGCGGCUAGACGGAAAGACCCCGUGAACCUUUACUACAGCUUGGCACUGAACAUUGAACCUACAUGUGUAGGAUAGGUGGGAGGCUAUGAAGACGUGACGCCAGUUGCGUUGGAGCCGUCCUUGAAAUACCACCCUUGUAUGUUUGAUGUUCUAACUUAGACCCAUUAUCUGGGUUGAGGACAGUGCCUGGUGGGUAGUUUGACUGGGGCGGUCUCCUCCCAAAGAGUAACGGAGGAGCACGAAGGUGGGCUAAUCACGGUUGGACAUCGUGAGGUUAGUGCAAUGGCAUAAGCCCGCUUAACUGCGAGAAUGACGGUUCGAGCAGGUGCGAAAGCAGGUCAUAGUGAUCCGGUGGUUCUGUAUGGAAGGGCCAUCGCUCAACGGAUAAAAGGUACUCCGGGGAUAACAGGCUGAUACCGCCCAAGAGUUCAUAUCGACGGCGGUGUUUGGCACCUCGAUGUCGGCUCAUCACAUCCUGGGGCUGAAGUCGGUCCCAAGGGUAUGGCUGUUCGCCAUUUAAAGUGGUACGCGAGCUGGGUUUAGAACGUCGUGAGACAGUUCGGUCCCUAUCUGCCGUGGGCGUUGGAAGAUUGAAGGGGGCUGCUCCUAGUACGAGAGGACCGGAGUGGACGAACCUCUGGUGUUCGGGUUGUGUCGCCAGACGCAUUGCCCGGUAGCUAAGUUCGGAAUUGAUAAGCGCUGAAAGCAUCUAAGCGCGAAGCGAGCCCUGAGAUGAGUCUUCCCUGAUACUUUAAGUAUCCUAAAGGGUUGUUCGAGACUAGAACGUUGAUAGGCAGGGUGUGUAAGCGUUGUGAGGCGUUGAGCUAACCUGUACUAAUUGCCCGUGAGGCUUAACCAU